UAGGGAAUCUUCGGCAAUGGGGGCAACCCUGACCGAGCAACGCCGCGUGAGUGAAGAAGGUUUCGGAUCGUAAAGCUCUGUUGUAAGAGAAGAACGUGUGUGAGAGUGGAAAGUUCACACAGUGACGGUAACUUACCAGAAAGGGACGGCUAACUACGUGCCAC
rnacentral:rRNA from 1 species